rnacentral:snoRNA from 1 species
ACGACCUUACUUGAACAAGAUCUGUUCUAUAGGAUCGUACUACCGUGUCCUUGAUUUCUAAGGAGACAGGAACAUAAAUCUGGAUGAUGAAUUAUGACUCUGUGAUCAGAGCGUGAUUAACAGUUC